ensembl:processed_transcript si:ch211-69i3.3
GAACAAUUUCCCAAAAGCCAGUGCAAGGUGUAAAGACAACUGAGAAUUGACUGUGUUUGUUGUGGGGCUGUUUCGGUUGCUGUUGAUAAGCUAAUCGAGAAGAGGCUGAAUCCAAAGCCCGAGAAGAAGCAGAGAAACAGAGGAUCGAACGAGAGAAACACUUCCAGAAGGAGGAGCUGGAACGCUUGGAAAGAAAGAAGCGUCUGGAAGAAAUCAUGAAGAGGACUUGACGCAGGAGCACAGUAAUACAGAAAAAUCCGUCAGAAGCUCUUCAUAGUGGUGCGACAAACCAAUCACCAAUGAGCUCUGUGUCCUGGGACGCAGCACCGGUCAUUAACGGAGCUCCGCCCACUAAGCAUCAGAAUGGACUGUCCUCCAAUGGAGACGCUGCAGACUUUAAGGAGAUAAUCAAGCUGUCCAAUCACAGUGGGAACAGUGGGCAGAGUCAACCGGCUGACCCAAUCAUGGCCUUCGAGGGAGGAGAACCGUUCAUGAUGAAGGCGUGGCCUAUGAAACCUCAACAUGUGGCAGAGGUGCUGUGAGAGAUGAGAUAUCAGAGUCUUCUGGAUAUGAAGAGAAGAAGAGAAGCCUUACUCUACCACCGCUUCCACCCUGACGUGUGCCAAACCAACAAAAACAGACUGCUUUAACUUUAGAAACACAGCUGAGCCGGACGCGCUCAGGAGAAAGUGCCAGAAGACGAUCUUAAAGAGACACUUAUAUACAUAUACAACGUUUGCAAAAAGUUUCUGUCUAUUUCACUGUGUGUGUCAUGGUGCAACAUUUGUUGAGUUUCUUUAACAAGUCACCUGCCGAUCAUGUGGUGCACCUUAAAAGAGUCGCUAUAUAUUGAAUUUUAGAAAAGACAACUUGGCUUAUCUUUAUGAUAUGAAUUAUUGUUGUUGUUGUUGCU